rnacentral:rRNA from 1 species
UUGAACGCUGGCGGCAGGCCUAACACAUGCAAGUCGAGCGGUAGCACAGAGAGGCUUGCUUCUUGGGUGACAAGCGGCGGACGGGUGAGUAACGCGUAGGAAUCUACCUAAUAGUGGGGGAUAGCCCAGGGAAACUUGGAUUAAUACCGCAUACGCCCUACGGGGAAAGCGGGGGGGGGAUCUUCGGACCUCGUGCUAUUAGAUGAGCCUGCGUAAGAUUAGCUAGUUGGUGAGGUAAAGGCUCACCAAGGCGGCGAUCUUUAGCUGGUCUGAGAGGAUGAUCAGCCACACUGGGACUGAGACACGGCCCAGACUCCUACGGGAGGCAGCAGUGGGGAAUAUUGGACAAUGGGGGCAACCCUGAUCCAGCCAUGCCGCGUGUGUGAAGAAGGCCUUCGGGUUGUAAAGCACUUUCAGAUGUGAGGAAAGGUUGCAGAUUAAUACUCUGCAGCUGUGACGUUAACAUCAGAAGAAGGACCGGCUAACUCCGUG